UCCAUGUACUUGUUGCUGUGCGUUUACACGUAGGGCGCAUUUUGCAUACGUCACAGUGGGCGUACGGUAUCCUGAGAGCAAAGCAGGUCUCGGUGGAAUGCUUUUGUAGCUAAACCUAGGUGCCUACUCAUUUCCAUUUAUCAUGUCUCACAGGAAGGUGACAUCAUUCAACUUGCCAUACAAGCAGACGCACAGAGCCAGCAUCUGAUGUAAAAUCGGAAGUGUUUUUAUAGCAAUUGGAACUUUCAUAAGGAUGAUCUAAUUUCAUGAACUUUUGGAAUUAAAAUUUUUAUUGAAAAAAUUCAGAGCAUUUUGACUGUCCUUGCUUAAUUCACUAUGCAGAGGAUGAAACACCAGAUACAAUUCCUUUAGUAUACCUACUAGAAGAUGGCAUCAAGGUACAUUGGUGAAAUCUAUAUGUGAUUCAUGAAAAAUAUCUUGUAGACUCAAGGAUGUAUGACUUCUUUUAAGUCAAUACUGUUUCUUCACUGAGUGGAAUGAUGCAGUUGAAACUCUUAAAAGAGAAAGGCAACAGAAUUACACAUGAAUUUUAAAUUGAUGUGACGAGUGUCUGCUGAUGGAGCACUCUAGUAAUGAGCAAAUUCAUGAUGACCCUGAUCCAGGAGGUAAACCCCAAAGUCAUGAGAGUCGAAGGCAGCAAGACUCUGAACAAAAGAUACACAAAAUCACCCACAGUGCUUUGGAGAACAUUGGUGUCUUGGGGCAAGGUCUGAAACAGCUCUUCCACCACCAGAGAAGGAGGUCAUCUGUGUCGCCUCAUGAUGUUCAACAAGUGCAGGCUGAGCAGGAACCACCUCAGGAUUUGGAAGUCCAGAAUUCUACUUCUGAAGUUGAUGGCCUCAUCCAGCCUUCUGCCCAGCCUACAACUUUGAACAGAGUCCUGCAGCAGAUUAGAGUGCCACCUAAAAUUAAAAGAGGAUCAAGUCUACAGAGUAAGCGAAGUAAAGGUGAAAUCCUGAAAGGAAGCCCUCAGAUUGCUCGGAAACCCACCCAGGAUAAUAUGGUGAAUCUCCUACAGUCAGGAAGGCCUCGGUCUUCAUCUACCACUGAUGCUCCUGUCAGCUAUUCGGCACCGGAACCAACUUGUAUACUUUACCUUCCUAUGGAUGAACCUGAG